CUGUCGGUGUUAACUGGCAUGUUCUGUGGAACGUCCUGCCGGUGGCGGUCCGGGCUCUCGUUCUGCGUAGGGUCUCACCCGAAGCAGGGCGAAAAGUUCCGGCCGCCGGUUCAAUCCCGCCACGGUGCUCUUCACCGAGUGUCGAGGUGGGCCGGCACUUUUACUUUGAACAAAUUAGAGUGCUUAAAGCAGGCGGUUUCCGCCUGAAUACUGUGUGCAUGGAAUAAUGGAAUAGGACCUCGGUUCUAUUUUGUUGGUUUUCAGAACCCGAGGUAAUGAUUAAUAGGGACAGGCGGGGGCAUUCGUAUUGCGACGUUAGAGGUGAAAUUCUUGGAUCGUCGCAAGACGAACCUAAGCGAAAGCAUUUGCCAAGUAUGUUCUCGUUAAUCAAGAACGAAAGUUAGAGGUUCGAAGGCGAUCAGAUACCGCCCUAGUUCUAACCAUAAACGAUGCCAGCCAGCGAUCCGCCGAAGUUCCUCCGAUGACUCGGCGGGCAGCUUCCGGGAAACCAAAGCUUUUGGGUUCCGGGGGAAGUAUGGUUGCAAACUGAAACUUAAAGGAAUUGACGGAAGGGCACCACCAGGAGUGGAGCCUGCGGCUUAAUUUGACUCAACACGGGAAACCUCACCAGGCCCGGACACCGGAAGGAUUGACAGAUUGAGAGCUCUUUCUUGAUUCGGUGGGUGGUGGUGCAUGGCCGUUCUUAGUUGGUGGAGCGAUUUGUCUGGUUAAUUCCGAUAACGAACGAGACUCUAGCCUGUUAACUAGGCGAUUUCCGGUACCCACAAUAGUGUUACCGGCGAUUCAAUUUCUUCUUAGAGGGACAGGCGGCUUCUAGCCGCACGAGACUGAGCAAUAACAGGUCUGUAAUGCCCUUAGAUGUUCUGGGCCGCACGCGCGCUACACUGAAGGAAUCAGCGUGUCUUCCCUGGCCGACAGGCCCGGGUAACCCGUUGAACCUCCUUCGUGCUAGGGAUUGGGGCUUGCAAUUGUUCCCCAUGAACGAGGAAUUCCCAGUAAGCGCGAGUCAUAAGCUCGCGUUGAUUACGUCCCUGCCCUUUGUACACACCGCCCGUCGCUACUACUGAUUGAAUGAUUUAGUGAGGUCUUCGGACUAGUGCGCGGCUGUCGAUUUCGGCAGCCGAUGUUGCCGGAA
rnacentral:rRNA from 1 species